GACGAACGCUGGCGGCGUGCUUAACACAUGCAAGUCGAACGGUGAAGCGCCUUCCUUUUUGGUGGGUGUGGAUGAGUGGCGAACGGGUGAGUAACACGUGAGUAACCUGCCCCCUUCUUCUGGAUAACCGCAUGAAAGUGUGGCUAAUACGGGAUAUUCUGGGUCUGUCGCAUGAUGGGUCUGGGAAAGAUAUUGUUUCGGUGGGGGAUGGGCUCGCGGCCUAUCAGCUUGUUGGUGGGGUGAUGGCCUACCAAGGCGGUGACGGGUAGCCGGCCUGAGAGGGUGGACGGUCACACUGGGACUGAGCCACGGCCCAGACUCCUACGGGAGGCAGCAGUGGGUAAUAUUGCACAAUGGGCGCAAGCCUGAUGCAGCGACGCCGCGGGAGGGAUGGAGGCCUUCGGGUUGUGAACCUCUUUCGCCAGUGAAGCAGGCCUGCCUCGUUUGUGGGUGGGUUGACGGUAGCUGGAUAAGAAGCGCCGGCUAACUACGUG
rnacentral:rRNA from 1 species